UACGAAGGGUGCAAGCGUUACUCGGAAUUACUGGGCGUAAAGCGUGCGUAGGCGGUUUGUUAAGUCCGUUGUGAAAGCCCUGGGCUCAACCUGGGAAUUGCAGUGGAUACUGGCGAGCUAGAGUGCGGUAGAGGAUGGUGGAAUUCCCGGUGUAGCGGUGAAAUGCGUAGAGAUCGGGAGGGACACCCGUGGCGAAGGCGGCCAUCUGGACCAGCACUGACGCUGAGGCACGAAAGCGUGGGGAGCAAACAGGG
rnacentral:rRNA from 1 species